GGGAAAAAAGAAACCCCCUCUGUGCCCAGUGGUGAUGGGGUCUCACCAACAUUGUAACAGAUGAUGGCACAUCUUUUGGAUUCCUAAAGACUCAAUGGAGACCCAGUCUCGGGGUGACUCUCCCACUCCUUGCUAUUUAUACCUACAAUAUUUGUGACUCUUAGUCGAAUGCUGUGGAAUCUCUUUCCAGUAAUACUUCCAUUGGAAGGUAAACCGAGGACAUUGAGAAUAAAUGUUGCAAGUCUUCUAAGAUAGGGUGGUGCACAUAGAUAGGACUUUUAAGGAAGUUUCCACCAGACUUCUUAGAAGAAGGAUGAAGGGGAGGACAGGGAGGCCGAGAAGAGGAAACGAAUGGCCACUUCUUUUUAAAGAUGGGAUCGAAACAAACCACAAAGUGUGUCUAAAAGAGGCAGCUCGUGGGAAGCCAAUUUCUAACGCUCUUCGUCCCCAUCUUUCUCCCCUCCUUUUCCUUUCAGAAUAAAUUAAAGAACCGGCUAAAAUCCAAAUUAUGUGUGUGGUAUCUUUAUCUGAUCAACCUCAUACUCUAAUCACAUCUUAUCUUUGCUUGUAAAGCAGCUCCCUUCCUGUUCUCCAGGCACAUUACUUCUUUAAAUGUUAUGAACACACACACAUAUGAGUCAACUCUGCAGAAAAACAGAACUCAAGGUCUUUGUCCUCUGCAAUUCAUUUGGAGGGUUAGUUCUGGAAGGCCUGAGCUGGCAUUCCCAGCAAACUGUUCCACACAUUCCAAUAACUCUGCAAACAGCCACUCUCUCAAGGCAAACAGGGUGGGACAUCAGGUCUGAGGCAAAGAUGUACCAACUAAGGACCAGCAAGACCAGAAUAGGCACGCUUGGCUGCCCGACCUCCACUUCACCUGCUGCCAGCCCUGACUUGCAAAAGAGACCAGAGAGAGCUCCUGGCCUCUCCCUGACACAGCCAGGGGAGAAUUCGCAGAUGCAGAUUCUGGUGCUUGCGCUCAGAUCGGUGACUCUGGGAUUGUCUGCUGUGCCAAACGAAUGGAAGACUUGA
rnacentral:lncRNA from 1 species